rnacentral:piRNA from 1 species
AGGCUGGUAGAAGGGAGUGCCAUG